CAAUAGCGUAUAUUAAAGUUGUUGCGGUAAAAAAGCUCGUAGUUGGAUUUCUACCGAAGAUAGCCGGUCGGAUCUUCGACCUUGUAUCUGGUUUUGUCUUUGGUAUCCUCAUAGGGAACGUUUCUGCGCUUUAUUGCGUGGUGCGGUAUCUAUGACUUUUACUUUGAGGAAAUUAGAGUGUUCACGGCAGGCAAACGCCUUGAAUAUAUUAGCAUGGAAUAAUAACAUAGGAUCUUCGUCCUAUUUUGUUGGUUUCUAGGGCUAAGAUAAUGAUUAAUAGGGAUAAUUGGGGGCAUCUGUAUCAACGCGUCAGAGGUGGAAUUCUUGGAUUGCGUUGCGACAAACUACUGCGAAAGCAUUUGCCAAGGAUGUUUUCAUUGA
rnacentral:rRNA from 1 species